ensembl:lncRNA
CCCCCCUCUCACCCCCCCUUAUUUGUAUUGUGUUCCCUCUUUCUCUCUGCAGUCUUAUAUUUAGAUGUAUGACAUCCACUCAAAAGUUGUUUCUUCUAGUACAAUGAAGACAUUUCUUGAGGGAGCUCUGAGCAAAAGCGUGUGCGUGUGUGUGUGUGUGUGUGUGUGUGCAUAAAAGACGGGUGCUACAUUGUCUCUGUGGGUAUCUGAUUGUCCCUCGUCUUCAUUGAGCACUUGACCUUCUCUGCUCCCGCGUAAUGAUUUGCUGCAGGGGGACGCGGGGGGACGAAGGGGGACGAAGGGGGACGAAGGGGGGAGAGUCACAAAGUGUGUGAGCGCUGGGUCCAGACAUCAGAGCGCCUCUUUCUCUGUUAUCCUGCGGCGAUGCUUUAUUUGAAGUGGGAGGUUUGCCAAAGCGCGCGGGCCAAUCACCAGCGCUCCACUGUAAACAUCUGUAUGGUCACACCAGAUGUUCCCUCAGAUCGCUCCUCCGGUUCCUUUGUCUGGAAGUUAAUUUGCCUGGAAUGAGGUCUUUAAGACGAGUUGACGCUUUGUCUUCGAGAUGAGACGGAAAAGUAAACUCUCUCAUUUUGAAGCUUUCAGCUUGGCGGCUAAGUCGUUAUUACGCCUCCAGUCGGCCUUCAGGGUCACUUCUGUUUGUUCCUCCUCAUCAAGCUCCACUCGGACCCCUUAUUAAUAUUUACAAUGAAUUAGUUAACAAUACUUCAGAGUUGUGUUGCUUUUAGUUGCGUUUCAGCUUUUCUGCACUUUAACCACAAACAGAGGGCAUCUUCCCUCUCGGCGAAGGACCGGGGCGGAUUUGUGCGUCGGGAACAUUGUGUGCUCUCAGAAUGUACUUGUUAGCUUUCGGUUAACCACAUGGAGAGUUUUUCACCCAGCGGCGUUGGCAGGAGUCACGUCCCGACUUCAGGCAGGGAGAGACAGACGGCAGGAAACAUUAAUCAUCCACAUUGUGCGGCUGCUCACUAUUCAGCGUCUCUCACAAGGAAUUCAAGCAUCAGGUGAAUAAAUAAGUAAAUCACGGAUGGUUGUUAGGACUCAAAGGACCUCAUGGGACCUUUUUUUGUUUGUUUCAUCCAUAUUGGGGAUUGAACCCCCGGAAACCCGGCCUACGCUUUGCGUUGCCGCCCUUUGACCCAAGUGGCCUCACGGCACACGUUUGUAAUCCAGCAUCCGUCCCUCGCCGAGAGAUAUUUAGACAUCCAGACUGAUAAAUAGAAGUCGUCUUCGACACUGAAACCUCUUGCUUAAUUAUAUGCAAAUAUAAGGCAAUAAUUCCAUUAUUAUGCUAAACUGCACAGAGCACACAAGGGGGGGAAGAGGAAAACUCUGCAUAUUCAAUCAAAGCUCACAGGUAUUGGCAUGCUCAUUUGAAUUCAGCCUUUGACUCAAGGAACCGACAUGAGCGACCUGAUGAGGGAUCUAAGCGCCUCAUGAAUAUGAACGCGAGUGAUCAUUUGUAGAAUAAGAAGGAUGCUUUGAUUCAAAGCGCCCUUAGACGUAAGUGGAAGGCGCCGCUGCAUCGCGCCAAAGGUGACACAACCGCUGGGGCAGCGCCCACCGCGGCCCCCGGACAAUCCUGCAGGAAAUGUGAGCACGGUUUCUAGCGUGUUGGGAGAAACACGCGAUGCAGACCGCGUGCAUGCAGACCAAUAUUAAACAGUAAAUUACGACGGCUCGUCUCGACGGAAUUAGAAGCAAUAAAGCUGACAGAUGGAGGAGAAGGAACGUCAACGUGUGCCAUUGUUUUCCUCUCAUCUCCCCCCCGAAUACAGUGUGAACGCACACCUCGUAAUUAGCCGCUAACAGUUCAGGGGAUUAACUGUUGGGAAUAUUGUACUUGUGCAGAAGCUGCGCUGAGGAGACGACUUUGCGUUGCCCGGCGUCCGCCGGCCACCGCGCCUGCGUCGUGGCUGAAACGAGACGCGGACGCCGGUCUCAUUAACCAGGCGUUUUCCAGCUGGAGCGCACGCGGCGUUGCUAGGAUACGACGUGGGGCCGGCUGUGCACUGAGGUACCACUGACACCGGAGCUGGUUCAGCAGCUGAAAAACACACCGGAGAUCGAUUCCCGAUCAGCUCACGUUUGACUUCUUUUGACUUGUUUCCACUGAUUCUGUGUUGGAUGUCGUCUUAUGCUUCGUCAGUGCAAAUCGCGCCUUCCAAACUUUGCAUUUUCCUCAUUCGGUGAUUCGCUUAUUAUUCAGAAUGAUGUCAUCGGACCUUUUUGGUGUCAGCAGUUUGGUGCCUUGAAGGAAUUCCAAACCUCCUAAAUAAUUUGCAUGUCAAUACUCA